GACGAACGCUGUCGGCGUGCUUAACACAUGCAAGUCGAACGGCCAGGCCUGCUUUCCCUUGUGUAUUACGGGUACUCGCCUGCCCAACGGCUGAGAAACACGUGCGUGAUCUGCCCCCCCCUUGGGUAUAACCCUGGGAAACUGGAUCUCAUUCCCGAUAGAUCUGCAGGGUGGUGCCUCCAGUGGACAACGAUUUUCUACUGACUCGCGAUGAGCUCGCGGCCUAUCUGCUUGUUGGCGGGGUAAUGGCCUACCAAGGCGGCGACUGGUAGCCGGACUGAGAGGGUGGCCGGGCACAUUGGGACUGAGCUACGGCCAAGACUGCUACGGGAGGCAGGAGUGGGGGAUAUGGGCCAAUGGGCGGAAGCCUGACGCAGCGACGCCGCGUGGGGGCUGACGGCCCGCGGGUUGUAAACUCCUUUCGACCGCGAGGAAGCCACCUGGUUGGAAGGGUGGUGACGGUAGUGGUAGAAGAAGCACCGGCUAAUUACGUG
rnacentral:rRNA from 1 species